ensembl:lncRNA
GAAUUUUUCAGUGAAAAGGAUGUGAACAAAAGCCUAUGAGAAGGAGGAGGUCCUGCUGAGAAAAGCAGAGCUCAGGAGAGAAGGAGGUGGAGGCCCUGGACUGCCAUAGCUGAAGCCUUCUGGACUCGGAGUCCUGAGAAGCUUGUCAUUGGUGGAGGAACUCAGACAGUGGACCCACAGAAGAAGAAACAUGCCAGCUGCUGGGGAGGAGAUGAAGGAGGCUGUGAUGGAAGUGGUUGCCCAGUCACGUCUGACUCUUUGUGACCCCAUGGACAGCAGCGCACCAGGCCUCUCUGCCCCUCACCGUCUCCCGAUAUUUGCCCAAGCUUGAU